rfam:Aedes albopictus isolate Foshan contig96248, whole genome shotgun sequence.
GGCUCGGUAGCUUAGUUGGUAAAGCAGCUAUCUAGCAUAUAAGGAUCGUGACUUCAAAUCGCACCUGAGCUG